AUACAUGCAAGUCGAACGCGUCUCCGUUAAUGAUUUUAGGUGCUUGCACUUGAAAGAUUUAACAUUGAGACGAGUGGCGAACUGGUGAGUAACACGUGGGUAACCUGCCCUUGAAGUAGGGGAUAACACUUGGAAACAGGUGCUAAUACCGUAUAACAACCAAAACCACCUGGUUUUGGUUUAAAAGACGGCUUCGGCUGUCACUUUAGGAUGGACCCGCGGCGUAUUAGCUUGUUGGUAAGGUAACGGCUUACCAAGGCGAUGAUACGUAGCCGACCUGAGAGGGUAAUCGGCCACAUUGGGACUGAGACACGGCCCAAACUCCUACGGGAGGCAGCAGUAGGGAAUCUUCCACAAUGGACGAAAGUCUGAUGGAGCAACGCCGCGUGAGUGAUGAAGGGUUUCGGCUCGUAAAACUCUGUUGUUGGAGAAGAACAGGUGUCAGAGUAACUGUUGACAUCUUGACGGUAUCCAACCAGAAAGCCACGGCUAACUACGUGCCAGCAGCCGCGGUAAUACGUAGGUGGCAAGCGUUGUCCGGAUUUAUUGGGCGUAAAGCGAGCGCAGGCGGUUUUUUAGGUCUGAUGUGAAAGCCUUCGGCUUAACCGGAGAAGUGCAUCGGAAACCGGGAGACUUGAGUGCAGAAGAGGACAGUGGAACUCCAUGUGUAGCGGUGAAAUGCGUAGAUAUAUG
rnacentral:rRNA from 1 species